rnacentral:tRNA from 1 species
GCACUGGUGGUGGAAUUGGUAGACACGCCAUCUUGAGGGGGUGGUGUCCGAAGGAUGUGUGGGUUCGAGUCCCACUCAGUGCACCA